rnacentral:misc_RNA from 1 species
GCAACGCAGAGUACUUGGGCGAUAGAACUUGCAAAAUGGCGUCUUACUGAACAUUCGUAUAUUCGUGUAUUUCUUGCAGGUCGUGUCCGUUAUUUAGAUCAUUGGAAUCACUGUGUGCAGUUUUAUAUUCAUUAAUUAUUGACUAUAUUUCAUCAUGGGUACAUCAGAUUUGGAGGGUUCCGAAUGUAAACGAGAACCUUUAGGAUUAGAUUCUGAUGUUGAUGGUAUGAUUGAUCCAAAAAAGAAAAAGAAGAGAAAACAUAAGCAUCAUAAGCACAAAAAAGAAAAAUUAAUUGAGAAAGAUGACGAACGAUUAGACAAGCAGGAAAGACGAAAACAUAAGAAACACAAGAGACAGAAAAGAGAUAGAAAUAUGGAAAAUGGUACUAUUGAAGAGAAAUCAAUUUCUAACGUAAUACAUAAAGAAAUUGGUGUAAAUGGAAAAACAACUUCCAUAUUAGAAGUUAUCUCUACGGAAGAAAGCGAAGAUGAGAAAUUGGUUGAUCUUGAUUCUGAUGAAGUGGAUUGCACCAUUAUAGAAGAUGACAUUGAUCUUGAAGAAUUAAUGAAACAGAAGGAACGAUUGCAAGCAUGUUUAGUACAAUAUCUCUCGGAUGAUUCUGAAAAGGGUGACGAUAAAGAGUUACGAGAAGAAGAGGAAGAAGAGGAAGAAGAAUCUAAAACUGUGGCAGAAACACCCGAUGUCAUACUUGUAGAAGAUGAUAGCGAUAUCGAUGUAUCAUCGAAAAAACGAGAUAGAAGCAAAUCAGGCAGUAGAGAACGUAAGAAAGUGAUAAAAUCCGAAAGACGUGUUAUAGUUGAUAUCACUAGAGAUAGAAAAACUCGCGAACAGCACAAAGAUAAGAGAAGAGAUUUUGAUAGAAAAAGAGAUGAAAAAAACCGCCUUAGAGAGGAAGGAAAAAGAGAAGAUACUCGAAGAGACGAUAGAUCUUCACGAAAAAUUUAUGAAAGACAGAAAGAAGAUACAAAAAAAGACGAACUUAAUAAAAAAGUAGAUGAUGACCAGCAAAAACGUAAAGAUCUAUUGAGAAGGGAUGAGACACGUAGAAGAGAAUCAGAUAGACGAGAAGAAAACAGAAAACGAGAGCCACCUAUCCAUUAUAAUUCAAAAACUCGUAACAAUGAGUUAAAAAGUUUAGAUAACAAAAGCCACGACAGAAUGGGAAGUCGCGAGCGUCAAGACAGUCGAGAUCGUCACAUUAGUCACGAUCAACGCAGUCAUGAUAGAUUAUCGAGUAGAGAGCCCCGCCGUCAUGCUAGUCGUGACAAAAGGGAUAGUAAGAGCAAAGAUCGUCAUGGAAAUAAAGAUCGACAUGAUGGUAGUCGCGAUCGACGAGAAAUUCGAUAUCAUGAUCAUCGAAUCGACGAUCGGUCUCGCAAUACCGUGAGAAGAUCACGUAGUUUAAAUCGAACCAGAUCAGAAAGAGAACGAAACGAUCGGUAUAAAAGAUCCAGAUCUCCUUCUCGAAGUCACAGAGAUCGAGAUAAGCAACAAUUCAGGGAUCAUAUUAGAGAUCGCGAAAAGGAUAGAGAGAGAAAUAACAAGAGAGAUCGUAGCGAUAAGUACAAAGAUUCUUUAUCGGAAGGUCUUAAGAUAGAACAUUCGGACAGCUCAAGCGAAGAAGACAUCAGAGAUAUUGAUAUCGAGGAAGAAGAAGAUGAAGAAGCUAUUAUAGAACGUCGACGAAAACAAAGAGAAGAAUUGCUCAAAAGACUAAGUGGACCAAAUGAAGAUUCUAAUAUGUCUGCUGAUAUCAUUGUUGCUGAUUCUCCAGAAAGCCAAUCUAAUAUAUCACAAAAAUCUGUAGAGAUGCCAUCCAAUAACAAUGAAUCUCUUUUGGAGAGUCAUACUCCACCACUGCCUACAGAAAAACUAGAGUCUCCGCCUCCAGCUAAAAAGCGAAAAUCCAGAUUUGAGGAUGCACCACUUAAUGAGCCAGACAAAACUGAGAAUAUCAAAAUAUCUGAAAGAUUUAAACAAGAAGAAAAACCAACUUCGAAAAAAUCGAACGAAUGGGACAUGUUUGCGGAAGCAGAUAAUAUCGGUGAUUUUAACAGUCCUACGUUAGAAGGAAAACGUCAAGGAGGACCAGACAAUCCUAGUUUGACAGAUAACUGGGACGACGCCGAAGGAUAUUAUCGAGUGCGCGUUGGAGAAACACUAGACGCGCGAUACGUAGUUUAUGGAUAUACAGGACAAGGAGUAUUUAGUAAUGUAGUAAGAGCGAGAGACAGCGCUAGAGGAAAUUUAGACGUAGCUGUGAAAAUUAUAAGGAACAAUGAAAUAAUGCAUAGAACUGGUUUGAAGGAGCUAGAGAUUCUUAGAAAGCUGAACGACGCUGAUCCGGAAGAUAGAUUUCACUGCUUGCGUCUAUUUAGACAUUUUUUCCAUAAAAAUCAUUUAUGUAUGGUUUUCGAACCUUUAGCCAUGAAUUUAAGAGAGGUUUUAAAAAAAUAUGGUAAAGACGUUGGUUUACAUGUCAAAGCAGUAAGAUCGUAUACGCAGCAACUUUUUCUAGCACUAAAAUUAUUAAAACGUGCAAAUAUUCUGCAUGCUGACAUCAAACCGGAUAAUAUUCUAGUCAGUGAAAGCAAACUGGUGUUAAAACUCUGUGAUUUUGGUUCCGCAUCGCACGCCCAUGAAAAUGAAAUAACACCGUAUUUAGUUUCGAGAUUUUAUCGUGCACCCGAAAUUAUUCUUGGUAUACCAUAUGAUUUUGGUAUUGACAUGUGGUCUGUGGGAUGUACCAUAUACGAAUUAUACACAGGAAAAAUAAUGUUUUCGGGAAAAACAAACAAUCAAAUGUUAAAGUAUUUCAUGGAUCUAAAGGGCAAAAUGCCAAACAAGUUAAUUAGGAAAGGAUCAUUUAAGGAUCAACAUUUUGACAGCAAUUGUAAUUUUCUAUAUCACGAGGUUGAUAAAGUCACAGAACGAGAAAAAGUCGUCGUAAUGUCAACCUUACCAGCGACUCGCGAUCUUAGCGCAGAACUUGGUGGAAAUUCUUUACCACCAGAACAAAAUCGUAAAGUUGGACAAUUGAAGGAUUUGUUGGAACGAACAUUGAUGUUGGACGCAGGGAAGAGAAUCACUGUGAAUCAUGCUCUGGCGCAUCCUUUUAUACAAGAAAAGAUAUAGAUGUGUCUUCGAUUCAAAUCAUCGUUAAGUGCGGCCGGACCUCUUUCAAGGGCCUUUAGCGCCGAUCCCGUUACAAGCCCUCCCUGUGAGGAGGGGAGACAAUGGAAGAGGUGAUGAAAAUGAUGAAAACGAUUGAUGAGGAAGAAAGGAAAAAUAUGAUGUAUUUGUGCCUACGUCAUGUCUACUGCAUAAAAAUACAUACACUAUCGCUAAACAAUUGAACAAGAUUUAUACAACGGUUUAACUAGAUUUAUAUCUACGCGCUUCUCUUAAAAUUAUUUGAGAUUACAAUCAAGGACGUAAGUAUGUAUACAGAAAUAUAGUAAGUUCUCUUCAUCUUCUACAUGAAGCUUCCAAACUUCUUAAUCUCGUUCCGGAUAAUACUGGAUCAAUAUUUUGGAAAGUUGUUGAGCUAAUUCUACUGAUGAUGCACACAAUGUUCUUCUACUCAUCACGUCAAAUGAACCACCUUUUUUAAUCUGGAUCUAUUGAUACACCUCCGGCUUCUCGAACAAUAAGAUCUCCGGCUGCAAUGUCCCAUGCAUGUAUACCAAAUUCAAAAGAAAUGUCAGCACUGCCACAAGCCACCAUACACAUAUUCAGAGCCGCCGAACCAAGCGAUCGUAUUCUGUAAAAUGAGUAAAUAAAUCUUUGCGAAAUUUUUUAACUAGAAA